rnacentral:rRNA from 1 species
UCCUACGGGACGCAGCAGUGAGGAAUAUUGGUCAAUGGGCGGGAGCCUGAACCAGCCAAGUCGCGUGAGGGAAGACGGUCCUAUGGAUUGUAAACCUCUUUUGUCAGGGAGCAACGCCGGCUACGUGUAGCCGGACUGAGAGUACCCGGAGAAAGAGCAUCGGCUAACUCCGUGCCAGCAGCCGCGGUAAUACGGAGGAUGCGAGCGUUAUCCGGAUUUAUUGGGUUUAAAGGGUGCGCAGGCGGCGAGUUAAGUCAGCGGUAAAAUUUCGGGGCUCAACCCCGACGAGCCGUUGAAACUGGCUU